rnacentral:lncRNA from 1 species
CUUAACAGCUGGGCUAGAAAAACUAGCCUCACGCAUAACACGACUCACACUAGGAUCAUCGAGAAUAGAUAUAAUCAAUUGUUCUAAUUCAACUUUCACAGCUAAAAGCGGCUGUUGUUGUUGUUCAGGACAACCUCUACGUUGAUGAGCUUGUGCCCGCUUUAACGCAGCCAUAAGCGCAUUAGAAAUCGGAGGCUCAGUAGCUUGUGCCCGCUUUAACGCGGCCAUAAGCGCAUUAGAAAUCGGGGGCUCAGUCCCCGAUGGCAUAUUCUGUGCCGUAGGUAGCCGCUCCAGCGCGACGCUGAAGCAAAGCUCCAACGCUCG